AGACCCGAAACCCGGUGAUCUAGCCAUGGGCAGGUUGAAGGUUGGGUAACACUAACUGGAGGACCGAACCGACUAAUGUUGAAAAAUUAGCGGAUGACCUGUGGCUGGGGGUGAAAGGCCAAUCAAACCGGGAGAUAGCUGGUUCUCCCCGAAAGCUAUUUAGGUAGCGCCUCGUGAAUUCAUCUCCGGGGGUAGAGCACUGUUUCGGCUAGGGGGCCAUCCCGGCUUACCAACCCGAUGCAAACUGCGAAUACCGGAGAAUGUUAUCACGGGAGACACACGGCGGGUGCUAACGUCCGUCGUGAAGAGGGAAACAACCCAGACCGCCAGCUAAGGUCCCAAAGUCAUGGUUAAGUGGGAAACGAUGUGGGAAGGCCCAGACAGCCAGGAUGUUGGCUUAGAAGCAGCCAUCAUUUAAAGAAAGCGUAAUAGCUCACUGGUCGAGUCGGCCUGCGCGGAAGAUGUAACGGGGCUAAACCAUGCACCGAAGCUGCGGCAGCGACGCUGAUGCGUUGUUGGGUAGGGGAGCGUUCUGUAAGCCUGUGAAGGUGGCCUGUGAGGGUUGCUGGAGGUAUCAGAAGUGCGAAUGCUGACAUAAGUA
rnacentral:rRNA from 1 species